UUCCGGUUGAUCCUGCCGGACCUUACUGCUAUCGGGGUGGGACUAAGACAUGCGAGUCAUGCGUCUCUAGCUAUGUUGAGACGCGGCAGACGGCUCAGUAACGCGUGGCUAACCUACCCUCAGGACGAAGAUAACCCCGGGAAACUGGGGAUAAUAUUCGAUAGGUGAGGAUGUCUGGAAUGACUUCUCUCCUAAAGGACUUAGAUACAUGCUUCUAUUUCGCCUGGGGAUGGGGCCGCGCCCGAUCAGGUUGUUGGUGAGGUAACGGCUCACCAAGCCUAUAACCGGUACGGGCCGUGAGAGCGGUAGCCCGGAGAUGGGUACUGAGACAAGGACCCAGGCCCUACGGGGCGCAGCAGUCGCGAAAACUCCGCAAUGCACGAAAGUGUGACGGGGCUACCCCGAGUGCCAUCCGCUGAGGAUGGCUUUUCUUUGGUAUAACUAGCCAUGGGAAUAAGGAGAGGGCAAGACUGGUGUCAGCCGCCGCGGUAAUACCAGC
rnacentral:rRNA from 1 species